GGACACAUAGCUUAGUGGUUAAAGCACGGGGCUCAUGACCCCGACUACGUCAGUUCGAUUCUCACUGUGUCUA
rnacentral:tRNA from 1 species